GACGAACGCUGGCGGCGUGCUUAACACAUGCACGUCGAACGGAAAGGCCCUGCUUUUGUGGGGUGCUCGAGUGGCGAACGGGUGAGUAACACGUGAGUAACCUGCCCUUGACUUUGGGAUAACUUCAGGAAACUGGGGCUAAUACCGGAUAGGAGCUCCUGCUGCAUGGUGGGGGUUGGAAAGUUUCGGCGGUUGGGGAUGGACUCGCGGCUUAUCAGCUUGUUGGUGGGGUAGUGGCUUACCAAGGCUUUGACGGGUAGCCGGCCUGAGAGGGUGACCGGCCACAUUGGGACUGAGAUACGGCCCAGACUCCUACGGGAGGCAGCAGUGGGGAGUAUUGCACAAUGGGCGGAAGCCUGAUGCAGCAACGCCGCGUGCGGGAUGACGGCCUUCGGGUUGUAAACCGCUUUCGCCUGUGACGAAGCGUGAGUGACGGUAAUGGGUAAAGAAGCACCGGCUAACUACGUG
rnacentral:rRNA from 1 species